rnacentral:rRNA from 1 species
AACGAACGCUGGCGGCGUGCCUAACACAUGCAAGUCGAACGAGAAACUUCCCGCUUGCGGGAGGGAGUAAAGUGGCGCACGGGUGAGUAACGCGUGGGUAACCUGCCCUUGAAUCUGGGAUAACUCUGCGAAAGCGGUGCUAAUACCGGAUAUGGUUUCGAAGACUUCGGUUUUCGGGAUUAAAGGUGACCUCUUCAUGAAAGUUGCCGUUUAAGGAUGGGCCCGCGUACCAUUAGCUUGUUGGUAGGGUAAUGGCCUACCAAGGCUGCGAUGGUUAGCUGGUCUGAGAGGAUGAUCAGCCACACUGGAACUGAAACACGGUCCAGACUCCUACGGGAGGCAGCAGUGAGGAGUUUUGCGCAAUGGGGGAAACCCUGACGCAGCAACGCCGCGUGAGCGAAGAAGGCCUUCGGGUCGUAAAGCUCUGUCAAGUGGGAAAAACGUCUACCGGUCAAUAGCCGGCAGAUCUGAUGGUACCA